CGGAGUCGUCAGUGCAAGGCCGGCGUCGGGCACGCGCAAGGUACGCACGCUGGGCAUGCAUUCUUCAGGUCGCGCGGAGAGUUUGCAGGUCUUGGAUCGCGGCCGUGACAGCUCAUGGGUCUUGAACUCUCGAUGAAUGUACGCAGGCUUGUUACGCAGCGGCAGGGUUCGUCGCCGUCGGUUGCCUCUGCUCUUACCUGUCCUGGAGGUGCCACACGAGCAAACACUAGAUCUUUGUUCCUCUAUCUUUUGUUUAUUAUUGUUUUUUUUAGAAUCAUCUUUUGUUGAUUGGUUUGGGAGGGCUUGCCGCUCGAUAGAUUUUUUUUCAUGAUAAUACGUGUCUCAUUCAUAAUAUAAAGAUCAAAAUACAAGUCACGAUUGACAUUACAAAACUGAAAAGAUAGCAGAACAUCACUGAGCUUGACAUCAACACCUGUCAUCUGCCUCCGGCACCGUCACAGCAGCCACUAAAGAAAAGAAUGACGAAUUACCUUCUCACCCAAGCUUGAUGCGGCUCCGUCGCAGAUAUUCAGCUUUGCAAACCUCCAAGGUGACUCAACAGAAGUGAAGCCCUUGUCGUUGAACGAAUCAAACCAGGGCAACACCCCGGACAUGCCAUCGAACUCCAGAUCUGUCACCCCACCACGACUAAGACGUCGAAGGAGCAAACCACCAUACCUGCCAUCCACGAACCACAAACCCAGCACACGUUCCGUCUUCCAGAUGUAGUCGAUGCAAACCACAAUCUACAUCUGCUCCUAGACUACCUCCCAAGCUCUACGCCGACGCAGGAGCAAACAACUUCUCAACGGUGGAGUCCGAGGACACAGGUCCACCACGAGGAUGCCGUCGCCGCCACGUCAUCCUUACUUGAAUGGACCGGUUUUCAAAUCCAUCCCCAACCAAAGGACCGAUGGCCUCAUCAGGGAGGGAUCCAAAGAAUCUUUAUUCAGCGCCGUCAUCAUCGUCGUCAAAGCCAAGACGAUGAACAACCUAAAAACCUAGAUUCCGGGGGAGUAAAAACGAUCCACACGCGUGGAUCCGGGGACCCCCCUCGCCACCGACGAUCGAGGUCGCCGGCAGAGGGGAGCCGCCGGAGUUUGGUGCUGGAAGAUUGGCCUCUCCUAGCGGCGGCUAGGGUUACAACGACCAGGGACGAGAGGAAAACAAUCUUGUUGGAAUUUAGACAUCCAGAAUUGCUUUUAGAUAUUUGUUCCUCUAUCUUUUUUUGAAACGAGGCAAAAGACUUGCCAUUUUCAGUGAUUAAGAAGAAGACAAUUGCCCGUUUAAUUGACGGAAAACUAGGCUAAAACCGAUACAAGCCAAUUUAUAUGACAUGGGCACCACCGGCCAACCUGGCCACCAGCAUGAAACCUGAAACUACAAAGAAGAAAGACAUCCGCCGACGAGUUGGAGCGUCAUCGUCAUCACUGGUUGCCUCGAACGGACGACUUUGACUUCAUCAUAGAGCUCCAUCAUCGAAGUUAACCCGCAAACAGCCGCAGAAGCCACGGCGGCACAUGCCAAUGGAUGGCCACACGCGCAAGCAGCCGACAGCUCCGACUUUGACGACGAGCAUCUCAAGAGAAAUAUGCAGGACUUGCACCGACCGUGCCCUCUGUAAACGACCACCGAGUGCCUGUCAUCGUCACCACCUGGACCCGCUCCAUCGCAGUUCCGACUUCAAAGCAACCAAGCAACCUACAGAAGAGCACGUUGGACACGCCUGGAAGAAUCGACUACCGAAGUCCACGCCGCGACCAGGUCUCCUCUCGACGCCAUCAUCAUUGCCCAACAGAAACAAGCGCCCCGCCUCAGCAAAUCACGCGGCGAAGAUGCCGCCAUCCAUGGCGAAGAUGCCGCAGUCCACCAGUCUCCUAGUCAUAGCUGGCUCCGAGACGAUGCCCCCAAGGAGGAGAAAGAUGCGAAGAUGCCUCCGUUGCCCUAUCCAGCGGAUCUGAGGAUUCCCUCCGAAGCCAAAGCCGUGGGGAGGAGGAGCACACCUCAACAACGACGCUUCCAAGAAAGACCACGACACCCGCGAGCGCCGUCCUUGCCGGCUCCUAUGAAGGCCGGAGCAAAGAUUUUUCCCGAAGAUGCGCCGACCACCUGCCACCACCGAUCGCCGCCCACCUGCCACCACUUGCUGAGGUCGACCUCAUUCUAGCCGCGGGAUCGCAUGACCACCAUGACCAGACAUGCACCACCCCCUGGCUGAAGCCGCCGUACACCACCACAGCACCACCAUGGCCACCACCACCGCAAUAACCAACGCCGCAUCGCGAAGCGUAGCACUCAGAUCGAUGCAGCUCACAUCAGAUCCAAUUGGAGCUGCACGAGCGAAGCAGCAGAGCAGACGAGCAAGUUCUCCUACCGCAGCGCACCUCGCACUCCAGAGCAGCACACUUGCCACGCCCAGCCAGUCAACGCGCCAGCCGUCGCCGCGCCCGGCCUGUUCUGCGCCCAUGCAGACAUCCGCAUCCGAGCCGCCGCCGCACGUAUGCGCGCCGCCCACGCCCUUGCUACACAAGAAGUCCGGACCGAGGUCGCCACCCUGACGCUCCACCCGCCGCCCGCAAGAGGCCCCAUGCCGCUCCGACCGCCGCCCUCGCCCGACGCCGCCCUGCCCAGAGUUCCCCUGCUCGUGAGAGGUCCGGCCCGCCGCAGAGAAAGGAACCCCGCCGCCGCCUGUUCCACGGAGGCGCCGGCAACAGCGAGGGGGAGGAUUGGGUGGGGCGCCCGGAGUUCUUGGCGAUUUUGUUCGCCGCCCGUGUCGCCCCUGGGAAGCGAGCAACGCGAGGGCCCGUUGGCUAGGUAAUUGGUUGUUCCUCUAUCUGACGUAGGUGUUAUGUGUAUAUGCAUGUUUAGGAUCUAAUACUCUAUAUUAGAGUCUAACUAUAUCUCAUCUAGAUGUAACAUAAUACCUCACAUAUAAGUUUGACAUCCACACUGUUUGUGACCCCUUUUGUUUGUCUAGGCCUGUUUGUUUAUAUCGAUUUUUUUGUUUGGUCGAGCAGCUGCCGGGCGUUGUGUGCUGUCACACGCUGCAGAGAGCCCCCGACUGGGCUGGCUCAUUAGCAAGCGUGGAGCCAUUAUAUAUAGUGCAGCCUAAACAUCAAAAAAUGGAAAUGCGGCGCUCAGAAUCGAACACAAGACCUCUGGUACAGAGGCAUGCCUGUAGUUAGCCACUAGAGCUAUUUGACGAUAGUGACUUCUUGUCACCGUGAAACACUAAAGUGCGGCAGAUUCACCUAAAAAAAAAAGUGCGGCCGAUCGGACAAUUUAGAAUUUUUUUCAAACAUUUCUUAAAAUUGUGAUAUUUUUUAUAUUGAGACAAAGAAUUUUUGAAUUUGCGAUGUGUUUUUACAAAAAUGAGAACAAAUUAUUAAAAUUGAGAACUUUUUUUAGACAACAAGAAUAUUUUCUACAAACUUCAAAACAUUUUCUAGAAACAUGAACAAUUUUUUUAAAUUGCAUAAAUUCUUUCAAAAAGUUGAGCAUUUUUUGAAUUUGCAACUAAUUUCUAGAAACGUGAACAUUGCUUGAAGCAUUUAUACCUGUUUGAAAAAACAUGAACAUUUUUAUAACUUGUGAACAAUUUUUGAAAAUAUGAACACAUUUUGAUAUUUUUAUUUUGAUAUAAACACACACAAAAUUUGGGAAAAUGAAAAAAAUAUGAAUUUUGGAACUUUUUGAAAGUUGUGAAUUGACGAAAAAAGAAUCAGAAAAAAAAUGAGAUCGAGUUUUGUAAAAUAGAAAUAUUAAAAGGAGAGGAAAACUCGUGAAGAAAAAUGACAAAAAAAAAAGAAAAUCACGGAAAAAACAAAAACGUAUCCUAGCUACUUGGGCCAGUUCAUGUGUGAUUUGCUCACUGCCGAGCUUGGACCCGCAACUAUGACAAAAAAAGUUGGGCCCCAGUUUGGAGUUGAGGGUAGAUUUGCAACUGAUACAAAAAAGGUCGGGCCCCAGUUGUAAGUCGAGAGUGGACUUGCAACUUGGACAAAAAAAUAGUCGGGCCCAAUUGCGAGUCGGGGUGGACUUGAAAUGGAGACUAAAUAAGGUCGGGCCCCAGUUGUGAGUCGAUGGUAGACUUGCGACCCGGACAAAAAAGGUUGGCCCUAUUUGCGAGUCGAGAGUGCACUUGCAGCUCGGACAAAAAAAUGGUUGGGCUCCAGUUGUGAGUCGAGAGUGACUUGCAACUAGGACAAAAAAGGUUGGGCCCCAGUUACGCGUCGAGGGUGGACUUGCAACUGGAGGUAAAAGUUUGUACCCCAAUUGCAAAUCGAAGAUGGACUUGCAACUAGGACAAAAAAAAUUCAGGCCGAAUUGCGAGUCAAGAGCGGGAUUUCAACUAGAGAAAAAAGGUCAAACCCAGCUGCAAGUCGCGGGUGGACUUGCAGUUGGAACAAAAAAAAGGUCAAACCCUUAGUUGCAAGUUGACUGUGGACUUGCAACUAGGACAAAAAAAGGCGGGUCCUAGUUACUAGUGGAGAGUGUGAUUGCAACUAGGAAAAAAAGAGGUCGAACCCAAGUUGCGAGUCGAGGGUGGACAUGUAGCUGGAAGAAAAGAAAAAGGUCAGACCCCAAUUACGAGUCGAGGGUGGACUUUCAAUUUUGAAAAAAAAAGCUGGACCCCAGUUGCGAGUUGAGGGUGGACUUGUAACUAUAAGAAAAAUAGGUCAGCCUCAAGUUGCGAGUUGAAGAUAGACUUGCAAUCGGGACAAAAAAGGAUGGCCCUAGUUGCGAGUCGAGAAUGAACUAGCAAAUGAGACAAAAAUGCUAACCCCCAGUUGCGAGUAGAGGCUAGACUUACAAAUGCGAAAAAAAGUUUGGGACCCAGUUGCGAGUCGAGGUUGGACUUGCAACUGAGAAAAAGAAAACAAACUUUGGGCCCAAUUCUGUGUUGAUGAUGGAUUAGCAACUUGGACUACACAAAAUUACACCGGUUGCGAGUCUGUGAUGGAUUUGCAACUGAGACAACUACAAACUACGAGCCUUAGUUGCGAGUCAAGGAAGGAAUUACAACUUGGAUAAAAAUAAACUUUAGUUCGGGUUGAACUUCGAUGACUUUUGACUCGGGUUUAAGGAAAGCUUUUCAAGUAAAAAAACUGAAGAUAAAAAACUACAGAUGAAUGGGCCCGGAUGGAAAAAGAAAAUAGAGCGAAGAGGCUAAAAAAGUUGAAAAGUUGCACAAAAACAAAAACGAGACAAGUCAAUGAACAGGAAAAACAAUAAAAAAAAGUUGAAAAGUUGCACAUCGUGGGCCACUGGGUGUCUCGCACAACACCAUGCUUCAACAAAAAAACAUUUGAGAGUUCGCCUAUAGGCAACUCGAGCUUUCCCUCUAGUUAGGGUUUUUCUCCUCCCGGUGGCGAUCUUGCCGCCGUCGAGACGAUUUGCUCCCCUACCACCGCGUUUUCCCCAUCGUUCUUCCCCGCUAGAGAGGGUGCGCAAGUGCCUGACCCUAGCAGGAACAGGGGCCGACGGGCUAGGGUUCCACCGUGAGAAUACCCAAUCUAUACUGUCUGUUUCGGGUGAGAGAUAUAAUGGCUUCUGGCGGAUCUUCAAGUUCUGCGGGAGUUGGAGAUGUUGAAUUGCCGAUGAAAGAGUUGGGACUGACCGAGGAAGAUCUGGACGAUGUGGUCUUCGAUGAAGUGCAGGUGCCAUCAGAUAAACCUAGAUGGAUAGCUUUGGCUAGGGUUAAUACUCCCAAAUCCUAUAGCCAAACGCCCAAACCUGCUUCUAUGGAAACAUGAGAUCGGCAUGGGACGCGGCGCAAGAAGUGAAGUUCAAGCCCCUGGAGAACAACUUAUACACUGUCCAAUUUUCAUGUUUGGGUGAUUGGGAGGGUAAUGAACGACGGUCCCUGGAACUUCAGAGGAGAUGCGGUGCUGAUCAUGACGUAUGAUGGGAUCACACAACCCUCCACCAUUAAGCUUGAAACAAUCGACAUAUGGAUCCAAAUCCAUGAUGUGCCGGAUCUAUAUUCCCAUCUUGUUGCCCCAGUUGCUGCAAAGGUGGGUGAGGUCUUGUUCUGUGAACCAGCAUAAAAUGAUUUUGUGGGAAAUUUCUACCGUGUCUGGGUUCGGCUCAAUGUUCUAAAGCCACUAAAGAACGCGGUGUCUAUGGUGAGGGAUGGAAAGAGGCAGAUAUACAGAGUCAGGUAUGAACGUCUCCCAGAUUGGUGCGCGUUGUGUGGAAUGCUAGGCCAUCAGUUUAAAGAGCACGGCAGUGGGAUCCAUCCUCCAUCGGCCUUGGUGUUUAAAGACCUUAGAGCUAGCUGGUUCAUGCGUAGUGGCCGAAGUCCAGGAGAGGGCCGUGGCCGUCAGGGUGGACGGCGUGGAGGCCGAUUUGGUAGCUGAACAGAUCAUCAAGAGAGGCAUGAGUACGGAAGGGCAGAAGAUCUCAACAUGAGAGGCUCAGGUAGGGGUGUAGCCCCGGACGCAGCGGAUAAUGAUGUUGACAUGGACGACGCAAGUAGGAAGAGGCUUGCGAGAAAGGAUCUAGGGGCCAACCAGCAACAAUGUUCGAGCACAGUUGAUACACAUAUCGUUGGCGAACAGCUAGCCGUUGUUCCUGUUACCAGUACUCUGAUUGUCAGAGAGCAGAAACGGUCCAAGACAGGGUUCGAGCAAGGCGAUGGAAACAACUCAGCAGUCAAAAGUUUGGCGGGCUCCUUCGAGGAGCGCUGCCAGGUCCAAUGAACGCUCUUUGUUGGAACUGCCGUGGAGCGGGUAAACCUGUGGCAGUUCAAGAGCUUUGCGAUUUUGCGAAGAAGUUUACCCCUACCCUCCAAUGUAUUGUUGAGACACAGAUAGAAGAUAGUAGGGUAGAAGCUUUAGCUAGCUCAAUAGGAUGUGAUAAUGCAUGGAGUUGACAGUCAAGGCCAUAGUGGAGGCAUUGGACUUUUUUGGAAUAAUGUAAUAAAAAUUGAAAUUCUUGGUUAUUCGUGUUAUCAUCUGGAUGUAUCUGUUGAGGAGGAAGGGGAGGACAAGUGGAGGCUCACAUGCGUCUAUAGUGAAGCCAAACUCACCUUCGUCACCAAACUUGGAUAGUUUCUUAAAAACAUAAGUACUUUGAGCACGCUCCCAUGGAUCUGUAUCGGUGAUUUCAACGAAGUGUUACGUCCAAGUGAGCAUGAGGGAGUUGGACAACGAAGUAAUGCUCAGAUCCAAGCUUUCAGAGAUACUAUUGAUAUUUGCAUGUUGAUAGAUUUGGGACACAAGGGACAGUUUUGGACCUCCGAGAAGAGGGUGGCAGGUGGUACCUACACUCGGUGCAGGUUGGAUAGGGCCUUAGUCAACUCAGAUUGGUUGGCAAGAUUUCCCCUGGCCUCGGUUACGCAUGAGACUGCAGCCACAUCAGACCAUCUUGCUCUGCUUCUAGAUUUUGGUCGAGCCAAAUCUGAAAGACGGAAAUAUGAGUUCAAGUAUGAGACGAUGUGGGAGACGCAUGAUGGACUGAAUGAUGCGGUUGCACAGGGUUGGGGCGCGGGUGCGCCUUGUUCCACAGUGGAAGAGAUGAGAGGAAAGCUCGGUAACUUAGCAAAAGAUUUGGGAAGAUGGAGUAGUGACACUUUCGGCAGUGUACAGAAAGAGAUUAAAGCCCUAAAAAGAAGAUUGAAGAGCUUCGAGGCGAUCCCCUACGUAUAGGCCCAUCACAUGAAGAACUGAAGGUUAAUGAGCGUCUGAUUGAACUUUAUCAUAGGGAGGAAAUUAUGUGGCGUCAGCGGGCACAGAUUGACUGGUUGACCGCAGGAGAUAAAAACACAAAGUUCUUUCAUAUGAGAGCGAGUCUAAGAUGAAAGAAGAACUUGAUCAAAGCUCUACAAAAUUCCUUGGGUGCCAUAGUGGUUGACCCGGAUGAGAUGAAAAUCUUGGCAAAUGAGUUCUAUAAAAUGCUCUAUACAACUGAAGGGGUGCAGGGCAUAGAUGAAGUGCUUAAUCAUGUGCCACGGAAAGUUUCGGAGGAGAUGAAUGCAAUGUUGAACACUGAAUAUACAAAGGAGGAGGUGAAAACAACCCUGUUUCAGAUGUUCCCCACCAAAGCUCUGGGGCCGGAUGGUUACCUGGCGCACUUUUAUCAGCAUCAUUGGGACAUUUGUGGUGAUGACGUAACGAGGGUGGUGUUGAGCAUAGUCCGAGGAGAGCAAAGCCCGGAAAGUAUUAAUGACAUAGUUUUGGUUCUGAUCCCAAAGGCUCUAAACCCCAACUUACUCUCAGUUUCGACCCAUCAGUCUGUGCAACGUUGAAAGGAUAGAUAUAGUUGACUAGAGGGGGGGUGAAUAGGCAACUAACAAUUUUUAAGCUUUUCUUUACCAAUUUAAACUUUGCAACAAAAUAGGUAGUCUAGAUAUGCAACUAUGUGAGCAACCUAUAUGAUGCAAUAACAACUAGCACAAAGGCAAGCAAGGGAUACAACACAAGUAAGCUUGCAAAAGUAAAGGCACGAGAUAACCAAGAGUGGAGCCGGUGGAGACGAGGAUGUGUUACCGAAGUUCCUUCCUUUGAAAGGGAAGUACGUCUCCGUUAGAGCGGUGUGGAGGCACAAUGCUCCCCAAGAAGCCACUAGGGCCACCGUAUUCUCCUCACGCCCUCACACAAUGUGAGAUGCCGUGAUUCCACUAUUGGUGCCCUUGAAGGCGGCGACCGAACCUUUACAAACAAGGUUGGGGCAAUCUCCACAACUUAAUUGGAGGCUCCCAAUGACACCACGAAGCUUCACCACAAUGGACUAUGGCUCCGAGGUGACCUCAACUGUCUAGGGUGCUCAAACACCCAAGAGUAACAAGAUCCGCUAGGGAUUAGUGGGGGGAAUCGAAUAUCUCUUGGUGGAAGUGUAGAUCAGGGCCUUGUCACCCAAUCCUGAGCAAAUCAACAAGUUUGACUGGCUAGGGAGAGAGAUCGGCUGAAAAUGGAGCUUGGAGCAACAAUGGUGUUUAGGGUUGGAAGAGAUGGGUCUUCUUGGAGAAGAAGACCCCCUUUUAUAGUGGGGGGACAAUUCCAACCGUUACCCACCACUCAGCCCAUGACCCAGGAACUACCGCACCACAGGCGCGGUACUACCGCACGGGCCUGCGGUACUACCGUGGUGGACCGCGGUACUACCAUGGGCGCGGCACAGCCCAAACCUGAAUAAAGGAGCACAAACAGGGUGCGGUAGAUCCGCAGGUGCGGUACUACCGUGGCCCCAUGUGGUACUACCGCAAGACAGUCGCAGGCCAGGCCCGGUAGGCACAGAUGUAAAAAGUUACAUCCGUGACUACCUCCGCUGAGAAAUUAUCGUGCAAAAAUCCGACACGGAACUACCGCGACCAACGGUGCGGUACUACCGUGAAGGGUGCGGAUGUAAAAAAUUACAUCCGCCCCUACCUCCGCUCCUGCUACUGAACCUGGCCUGGCGCCACGGUACUACCGCGUCGCAGCACGGUACUACCGCAUGGAGCGCGGACGUAAAAAAUUACAUCCGUUCCUACUACCGCUUGAGCAGCAGUGCCAGACAAGAGCUCGCGGUACUACCGCUCUGAGGAGCGGUAGUACCGUGGGAGCGUCUGGUACAACCAUGCUGGAACCCGGUACUACCGCUUGCUCCUGUGGUAGUACCGCUCAGAAGAGCAGUACUACCGCUAGCCUAAGAAGAGCAACACGGAGGCCUUCAUUUCGCAGAGACAAGGUGAGAUGGAGGAACACUCCAAGGAGCUCGAGGAAAGGCAGUGCAAAAGGGAAUGUGUACGUGAGAUUCCACCCAAACCUUUCCAAAGCGGACCCCCUCUUAAUAGUACGGCUUUCCUACGACUCAACUCCACCGAACCGAACCGUAGAGAAACGCCGUCUUCAAUAAUCUUUGAGGGGCAUCAAAUCAUCUUGUGUUUAGUCGUGAUGUAUCUGAAAUGCUCAAUACACACGAUUAGUCCGCAAAGGCAUUGUCAUCAAUCACCAAAACUACUUAGGGACAAGAAUGCCCUUACAAUCUCCCCCUUUUUGGUGGAUUGAUGACAAUACGGGAUUUGCACAAAGGAGAUGAAUAUAGCACAAGCAAACCCCAUAGCUCUAAAAUAUAGAUGAGCUCCCCCUAGAUUCGUGCUAGAGAGUAAAGUGCUUUGGACUGCACGACACGAAUACUAGGAUCACCACUCCCCCUAUAUUUCAGAAACAAGGCAUAUCUUGCAAUGGUAAGGUUAGCACCAAGCAGGAUAGUAGAUAUGAGCAAAACAUGAAGCAUGAUAUAGCAUAGGCUCAAUAAGGUAAUAAGGUACGAUAGAGUGCAUAUGUCUUACACCAUAUGAUAAACUUAGUCUCACGAGCACAACCAAACCAAGGCAAACAAGUUCAACAACGGAAAGCAAAGAAAACGACGAAACACAUGACACACGGCACGCAAAUACUACACUCUCUCCCCCUUUGGCAUCGAGACACCAAAAAGGCAGUGAGGUCACCUACAACAAAGGUGGUAGCUCAGGCGGAAAACGACUCGUCGUCGCCAGACUCCGUAGAAAGAACAUACUCCUCCUCUGAAUCGGUCCACUGGUAGCCCUGCUUCGCCAUCCAGGCAGUCUCUGGGGUGAUGUGCUUCUCAGAGCCACUGGCCACGUCCUCCCCGCAGGCCCUCAAGAUCCUGAUGUCGCAAUGGCGACUCUCCUUCUGAGCAACAUGGGCCUUGUACUGACCCUGAACCUGCAUGCAGAAUAGCCUCUUCAUCUUGUUCUUCAGCUUCUUUGCCCAAGAGGGCUCAGCAGAGGGAGGCGUGAACGCAGAACGGUCCUCAGCAGCUUCUUCCUCCUCAAUCUCCUCCUCAUCCACAGCCAUCUUGGCAGCCUCAGCAGCAGUGGUGGUGUUUGCCCAUUGGGGCUUGAUGCGAAUCUUGAUGGGCUCAUGUCGAAUCCAGCCCGGAGCUUCAAACUCAUCAUUGGGAAGGAGCUUCUCCCAAGUCUCGGAGAGCAGGUGAAACAGGUAAGGCCCAUAGAUGGGGACCUUACGGUUGAACACGGCGAACUGAAGCUCACACCACAUGAUAUGUGAGACAUCAAGUGGCUGAGUCUGAGCCUGACGGGCCUCCUCACAAAGGAGCAUCAUGUCAAUGAGGUAAGCAUGCACAUAUCCCACAUAACCAAUGCGCGGGAAGAGUGUGUUCCAGAAUAGCCUAUGCAUGAUGUCAAGGAAGGGGUUAAGCACCCACACCUUCUUCUUGUUUGGAAGCGUCUUCUCAACAAGGUAUGGCAUGAGCUUGUUCUUGUUGGCAGACUCAGAAUUGGCGUGAGGGCGAACUCCAACUGGCUUGUCGAGUCCUUCAUCGGGAAUGAGAAGCAACUCCAUGAACUCCUUCCAGGUAGCAGACAGCUGUUGAACAUUAGUCAUCCAAGUCAUGGUCCUUUCUUCAUUGACGUCGAAGUGGACCGAAGCAAAGAACUGUGCUAUGAUCUCUGGCUCAAAAUCCAUGUGGAAGGUGAGAAUGUGUUCGAUGCAGAACUGCUCCACAAGAUCCAAAGCCUCUCCAAAGUACCCAUGGUGCUUCUCCUGCCUCAUGUGAAUCAUGUCAAUCCAGUGAACUUCAACAUAGUGAUUCUGCUUGGCCUUGAUCACAUCCAUAUAGAUCAGAUUCUGCUGCUUGUUCCAGAAAAGGUCAUUGCCUUGCGUGCUAGCCCGGGGAGACACAUAGGGAUUGAGCUUCCUUCGAAUGACAAACUCGGCCUGGGGCAUCUCAUCCAUGCCCAAGACGGGCUCCUUCUGUUUGCUGGCGGUGUGCUUGGUCCUGCGUUGGGGAGCAGCAGAGGACCCCUCUGGAACAUCAUCAGGGUUGCGUAGACGCUUUGACCCUGUGUACGGCUGGGGUUCGAGCGACAAGCAAAACCGGAGCCACCACCUAGACAUAAAGACACAAAGACACGCACGGAACAAAACGGAUCAAAACCAAACCGAAAGAAACACAAAACAUGCAAUUUGGACAAAAUGCGAUUUGGACAAAACAAAAGUGCGCAGGAUGAAUCUAUGGUAGUACCGGGCAGGGUUACGGAUGUAAAAAAUUACAUCCGCUCCAGCCGCGGUAGUACCGUGCCGGGGUAGCACGGUAGUACGGCGCGUGGGGCGGAAGUAAUUUUUUACUUCCGUAUGCCCAGCGGUAGUACCACACCAAGGUGCGGAAGUACCGCGGAGCGUCAGAUCCAGGUGAGGCUGUGGUAGUACCGCUCCAGGAGGAGCGGUAGUACCGCACGGAUUGAAAACCACCACAGAGGACGCGGAUCUGGAUCUAGAACCUCCGCACGAUAUCUUCGGUAGUACCGUUGAUCAAACGGAACUAUUUUGACUAUCCAAAGAGCAUGCAACUACACUACCACUCUACAACGAAUCCCACUUGCACAGAUUUAGCCAAAAAUCUCAAGAACACCACAUGCAUCUCCCCAAAACCUAAAAGCACAAGGAAGGACAAAAAGGAGAGGCACUUGGGGGAAAACCUGGGUCCAUGGCAAGAGGGCUAGGUGGGGAACGAUCCCACCGGUCGGAAUCCGAGGAGAGCGGCCAGAGAUGGAGAUCCGGCGAAGGCCUCCGGCGCCGUUCUUGGUCAGGAGAGAGAGAGACGGGGUGAGGAAUAGUGAUGAAUGGGUAUGGGGGAGUUAGAACUCCCCUUGUCCCACUCUUAGCCCCCACCCGCUCGCGUGGGCGCGGAAGUACCGCGGGUCAUUGCGGUAGUACCGCCCGGGCGGAAGUACCGCACGCUGGGCGGUAGUACCGCUCGUUCAGCGGCAGUAAAAAAUUUCUGCCGCGGAAGUAGCGGUAGUACCAUUCCCCUGGAGGGCCACGCACCUGGCAGAGACCCACCAACUCCUACGGUAGUACCGUGGCGCACCACUGUAGUACCGUAAACCAAGAAAGUGCUAGAACUCAAGAGAGAAAAAGGAGAAAAAGGCAAAACACCCUCCGGGGAACACCAAAUAACAAACACUACUAGGAAAAGGCAUGCUAGUGGCGCACCAGUUUUGCCUACUAAUGGCGCACUACUGGUGCGCCACUAGCAUCACGCCAUUAGAAUUAAAUUCUAAUGGCGCACCACUGGUGCGCCAUUAGUAUUUGGUGUUCUAAUGGCGCACCAAGUAGUGCGCCAUUAGAAUAACCCACAGUGCUCCAUUAGAAUGCCUCCCAAGGGGCCAUAUGUAUCCAUGUGCUUUGGCUUACUAAUGGCGCACCAGUGGGUGAUGCGCCAUUAGUGUGAUUAUCACAGUGCGCCAUUAGUGUCUUGUGUGGUGCGUCACUAGUAUGAAUAUUAGGGAUUUUUUUUCUUUUCUGAUAUUUUCCCAGGUUACAAAAUAUAUUAUUGAACAGAAUUUAGACAACACCACACAGGAACAACAGAUUCAUCGAAUACAAUAGAAGAUUAGUCUCCAAAUACAAUUCAUCAUAUUAGUCUCCGAAUUCAAAAGACCGAACAAAGAUAGAACAUUACAAGUCUCAAGACCGCGAGUAGCGAGUUUGUCUUCAUAUUACAAGUCGAUAUCGAUCAUCUAAACUACCAUCACAUAGAAGAGAGCUGCGGUCAUCACGAUGAGCAUCAUCGCGAUGAAACUGGUCUUCACCCGGUUCCUCCAACGCUCCCUCCUCUCUCCCGCUAGAUAGCGGGCGUAUCUAGAUUCCGCCUCCGCCCUAGUGGUGUACCCUUUGUAACUGUUACCGCUAAAACGGUGAACCUGUCUCCGACACUCCUCCCAGCCGUCCUAGACUCCGGGAACCUUACCCUUGUACACGACAUACGACGGCAUCUCUAUGCACAAGCCAAACAACAGACAAUACAUAAGCAAUAUAUAAGUAUGCAACAAAAGGAUCGGAAGAGAAAAGAAAGACAUUAAUAACACGAUUCAUGGUCCUACUAAUGAAUAGCAUCGAUUACAUCUAAGUUGAACGACUGCCCAAACCAAAGAGACAUACAAGUUCCUUAAAGUUUAAUUACAACAUGAGCUAAUCGAUGUUUCAGAACUACAAAUAGCAUCACUACUUUCAACUCGACUCAUGGGACCGGAGCGUGGAUGAAGCCGGCGUCUUUCGUGAUGGUCAUGAAGUCGCGGGCGUUGUCAGCCUGCAUUUGAAGUGUUGUGUCUAUCUCACUGUUGGACGGUUGCUCUCUGAGGUAGAACUGCCCCGAGGUACAAAGGACAUCUUGAUGGAUGAUUUCUGCAACCUCUGACUGGAUGCGAAAGAAUUCUUGUCGGAGGUCCGUGUCCUGGAUUGCCGCCAAGCUUGCGGCCCAAUCUUUGACAUUAUUUGGUAGUAGAAGGUGAUUAUGGUCCUGUACGAUCGCCAUCAUGUGAUGAAGGGCGUAGUAGGCAUCCUUCUGACCGCCAGGCGGCUGCUUGACGCAGGGGAACGUCGUAUUGUGGGUGAACACGUGCCUGCCGUACCUACGAACUGGCCUCUUAAAGGUGCCUCCAGAUGUGGCGUAGCCGGGGAGAGCAUCAUCAAGAACUUUCUUGAUAUUUGUGUAGUCUAUCUUGGAGUCACGGUCCAGGUCGAAAUACGUGGCUGUGGAAUAUUUCGGGCUUAAGAGGAUGAGUGUGCAAUGUGUGUCACUGCACAGAACACAGAAUGUUAGGAAAAAAAGAACGAUCAAAAUCUAAGAAAUCAUAUGUUACGGGGCGGUGAGGGGAUGACUUACUCGGGAAAGUAAGGCACGAGGAAGUUAUCCUUAUCUGGGUUUGCCAGAAUGACGCCUUCGAGGUGUGAACUCGCGACCUGCCGGUCCCCAGCGCUGCCCAAGAUCUUGGCACGCAUGUAGAAGGGGUAGACUAUCACGAUGUCCGGGGUCUUGUCUGGAAUGAUCCGCAUCUCCAUACUCAGCGAAAACAGCCGAACGAAGGUGUAGUGCAGCAGAUGAAGAUUAAACAUAGCAAAGAUUUCAUCAAACCGCAGGAUGAUCGUACCCCCGAUGGCGCCAUCCACAAAGCCCUUGCCCUCUGGCACCUUGGCCACGAAAACCGGGUAUGCCACAUCAUUCUAGGGGAGACGCAUCUUCUCCAAAGAAAGAACGCUGCCAUGCAGACUCCGCAUAGCACCGGUUGCAGCAUUGAGCAUAUUUGUCGGUAGCAUCUCCCUACCCGCCACAUGCACCCUCCUCGAGAUAUCCUGAGGUGAAGGUGGCCCGUCCUAAGCACGGAUCAUACUCGGUGCCGGCUGGCUCGCACCAGCGCCCUUGGCAGUCUUUCGUUUCCGUCCCUUCUUCUUGAUCUGCAGUAAUGGGACCGAGUUCUGCUCAUAGACCGCCUUCUUGAGCGUGUUGGGGCUGAUAAUAUUUCGCACCUCAGCUAUCUGAGGCUCGGUGAAGGCGGAAGCUGGAGGCGUCUCCUAAGAACUGAACGAUAGACGACGCCUGUUGCAAUUGGAUUUCUCUGUCAUACUAGCUAGAUCGCGGUCGUCUUGGUUGGGUUCUUGAGAAGGAGGCCCGCCGAACUCGUCACCGUAGCCAUGUUCGGCAAAGUACUUAUCAACGUUGGUAAAUGUACCGUCGUCAUUGUCGUCGUUGUCCGGAUCCUGUGCCAUAUGCAUGUCCGGAUCCUGUGCCAUAGGGAUGUCCGUCAUGUCCGGUAGCGUUGCGGCGUUCUUGCCAUGGCACGGCACUGGCACGACUGGCGGCCUUGUCUGUGGGGUGGUGUCCCCCGCCCCCAAACAAAUCUGGCUCUUCGGCCAAAGUAGGGGCCAGCUUAGGCAGGCGUUGAGGGUCAUCAGAUCUUCUUCGUCGGCCCCGGCGGGUCGAUUCGGAGGUAACAACUCGUCGCAGCCUAGCAGCACUCGAACCAGUUGAACCCUAUACACGGUGGGUGGCAUCGGUUUACCGUGGAACACGGGGUUGCCCGGUUGAACGAUUUUACCUUUGGCAACAUCGACCAACUCGUCGUUCACGAAGUGCAGGAGAGUGCACGGAACAUCGGUGGCGCCCUGCGAAAACAUGUAGGGCGUCAGGGAUGCCCAGUCAAUGGCAAAAGGAGAUGAAGUCCUCGGCCGAGAGGCUUAAUUAGUUACCGUGAUGAUGGCCUCGAGCUCGGCUAAUGUCGAGGCACCACCAACCGCUUGCUGGCGAGGUGCCGGCCGGCGUACACCCGGGUGCAUUAAGCUCCAAUUCCUGUGCCGGCACCAGAGACACCAAUACCGCCGCCACCGAUGACACCAAUGGCGCCGCCGGAGACACCAAUGGCGCCGCCUGCGCGUUGUGCGAGUUGCUGGUCGUGAAGCUGGGAAUCAGGGGCGGACCCUGUUGGCCACCCGCAAUCCACGUCGUUAGCCCAUUAAUCAAGGUAGGCAUAAUGCCGGUGAGCGUCGUUCCUAGUUGUUGUUGCACUUGCUCUUGGAUAAUCUCCAGAAUCCGCGCCACUUGUGCCGUGAGUUCUUCAACCUCGCGCGACUGGCUUUCCGAGCUGGUCUUUUUCUCCUUUCGCCCACCAGCGGUAUAGUAUGACAACCAUUUUGUGGACAAGCCUUUGCCGGCCACACGACCAGCUGACGACGGCUUACUGAGCUUAUCCUUGUUUUUCAUUAUGUUCAACGCCCUAUUUAGAGUGCUGUCCCAAGCAGGGGUGCUCUGAGAUGACCCCGCGCUACUGCUUUCAGUCUCCUUCGCCAGAACAAGCUCAAGCACCUUGGUCUUCGGAUCCGUGGUAAGCUCCUUUGUUAUUAGGUCCUCCUUGUACCGGGCCCUGACAAAGUUCCUGGUCUGCUUGUCACUGCUGUAUUUCUCGAAGCGGGGCGGUAGGCCUUGCUCGGCACGCUCCGCGUCCUCCUUGUCCCAUAUAGGCUCCGCCACUCUGUAACCGCCGGGACCGAGUUUGUGUUCCCCUAAGUUCAACUCCCGCAUUUCUUUCCCCCACUGACUUGAUUCGGAGGUUGCACUGCUCUCGCACUUGAUCUUGAACUCCUUGUAGUCAUCUUCGCUGAUCGAAGGAUUUUUCGCCUUAAUCUUCUCAUAACUAUCACCUUUCUCAAUCAUUCUCUUCACCGCGCUUGUCCAAGUAGACAGGGCCGUGCUUAUCCUCGUGACGGCGGCACCGUUCACUUUAUUCCCUAAGAGGCAUGUGUUUUCAAAUUCAGCGGGGAACUUGUAUCGUUCGUGCAGCUUCGUGAAGAGGAGGUUGCGCAAAUUCCCUCGAUCCUUAUGCCUAAGGUUCUCGGUGUUGAUCGAGACAGUGCUCCGGAGAAUGCACCCGAGCUAAACCGAGUACCCCUUGACUAUAUGUUUGGGCUCCGUUGGAUGCCCGUCGGAGUCCACUUGAGUAAAUUCCUCCUUGACGGUGCGAAGCGCGUUCGGGCGCCGGUCCUUCCGUUGCUUCUUCAGUUGGCUGCCAUCUGUGCGUGCGCCGCCAUCAUCAGUGGUGGCAUCCUUGGCGGCACCAUUAGUGGUGGCAUCCUCGGUGGCACCAUCAGUGGUGGCAUCCUCGGCGGCACCAUCAGUGGUGUUAUCCCCGACGCCACUAGGGGUUGUGUUGUCAGGAUCGGUGUCUUCCGUGGCGUCCUCAUAGCGGUGAGGUUGUUCCUCCAUCUCCUGGGAUAGCUCCCAGAAUUGCUUGCCGCCCGAACCGCCGGCCUCAUCGUUGUUGGCCAUGUUUCUCUCUAAAUAGGAAAAAAGUUUGGUCAAAAAGUUGGUUAUUGUCAAGGAACAAGAUCAUGGUCUCAUCAUUUAGGGUUUGUCGACACCGAGGCAUCCUAAAAGCUAAGCUUUUAUCAUUUAGGGUUUGUCGACGACGAGGCACCCUAAAAGCCUAAGCGUACAUCAUUUAGGUUCUCAUUGACACCGAGGCACCCUAUAGAAGCCAAGGUUUCAUCAUUUAGGGUUUGUCGACGCCGAGGCACCCUAAAUGCUAAGUUAAGUUUUCAUCAUUUAGGGUUUAUCGAUGCCGAGGCACCCUAGGUUGGGCCUAAUCACUUGGCACUAAUCACUUGGCUCUAUUGCCACCUAUGUUGGGUUUAUCAUCUAGGGUUUAUUGAUGCUAAGGAGAAUUCUAAGUUGGGCCUAAUCACUUGGCUCUAUUGCCACAUAUGGUUUAAUGCAGCAAGAAUGGCGGGGAAUAGGUGGAGUGGGGGGAGGGUUCUAACGGCACACCUCUCCCUAGUGCGCCAUAAGUACGACGAUUCUAAUGGCGCACCUCCCCCUGGUGCGCCAUUAGAAUUUUGUUUUAAUUACUAGCCCGACUUGUCAGGUUAUAUUCCACCUAACCCUAUCUCCAUCAGAACAUGCCCACUAGCCCGACUGGUCAACACGCAGCACACACACUAGGAGGUCUUGGGUUCGAUUCCCAGGCUCCCCAAUUUUUGUUUUUAUGCUUUAAAAUGAUGUUUGAUAUUUAUUUGUGUUUAUAUAUGUUCAAACUUGUUUAAAUCAUAACAGUAAUAUUUUUUAAUAAAAACAGUAACAAUUUUUAAAAAAUAUCAUCAAAUUUGUUAUUUGAAAAUAUUUAUGAAUAUGAAAAAAUAUCAUCAAAUUUAUUAUUUGAAAAUAUCAUCAAAUUUGUUAUUUGAAAAAAUAAUCAAAUUUGUUUUUUUUUGCAAUUUUAGUUGCAUUCAUUUGUGACAGUGGAGCGGGUCGGGGAGGGUACGGGGGGUCGGUGGCGGUGNNNNNNNNNNNNNNNNNNNNNNNNNNNNNNNNNNNNNNNNNNNNNNNNNNNNNNNNNNNNNNNNNNNNNNNNNNNNNNNNNNNNNNNNNNNNNNNNNNNNNNNNNNNNNNNNNNNNNNNNNNNNNNNNNNNNNNNNNNNNNNNNNNNNNNNNNNNNNNNNNNNNNNNNNNNNNNNNNNNNNNNNNNNNNNNNNNNNNNNNNNNNNNNNNNNNNNNNNNNNNNNNNNNNNNNNNNNNNNNNNNNNNNNNNNNNNNNNNNNNNNNNNNNNNNNNNNNNNNNNNNNNNNNNNNNNNNNNNNNNNNNNNNNNNNNNNNNNNNNNNNNNNNNNNNNNNNNNNNNNNNNNNNNNNNNNNNNNNNNNNNNNNNNNNNNNNNNNNNNNNNNNNNNNNNNNNNNNNNNNCGACGGUGGUGGCCAGUGGAGGGGGUGCGGUGGGUCAUCAGCGGCGGUGGAGUGGGGGAGGGUGCGGGGGGUCGGCGGCGGCGGCCGGUGGAGCGGGGGAGAUGGUGCGGGGGGUGCUCGGCGGCGAGAGGGACCGGAUCUAGCGAGGUGGGAUAGCGAUCGAGAUGGAGGGGGGGGUCGAGAUCGAGUGUCCAUGAAAUUUAAAAACAUUCAUGAGUUCAAAAAGUGCCCAUGAAAUACAAUCGAGAAAUGAAGGCUACAAUUUAAAUACAAUCGAUCUUAGCUAGCUAUCUGUUCACAAUCUUCUUGCCCUUAUUUUUUCGUCAAUGGAGUUCUUCUCUUGAACAGACGUCCUUUAGGUAGGGUGGUCCUGCUUCUUCUUGUGGUGUAUGCUGAUACUUCAUCGUCGUCGUCAUGUUCCAUAUUCGGGUCACCGUACUUGUCGAAGUCUUGCUCAUUGGCGAGUCCAUCCAUUCCGAUGAUCUUCCUUUUGCCUCUCCUCACGACAACGUGACUGGGCUUUGGCAGGUCAGUAAUGAAGAAGCAUUGGUCCACUUGGGAAGCCAGUACCCAUGGCUCAUUUUUCGCGGUGACGUUUGCGCCCGCGGUCUUGGAUUUGGCUUCGGGUAUAACCAUGGUGGUGAAAUACCGGUCUUCUUUUAUGACGCUCUUGGCCCAUCUGACACGGAACAUCGGGACCUUCUCUCUAGCGUAGCUCAGCUCCCAGAUCUCCUCGAUCCUUCCGUAGUAUCUGUCCUUGUCGUUACCGGUGUAGGAUUCCAUCGUUACCCCGGAGUUCUGAUAACCAUCGCUCUUCAUGUCUUUGUCCUUGGUGUAGAAUGUGUAGCCAUUGAUAUCGUAUGCCUCAUAGGUCAUCAGGUUGUGCUCGGCGCCCUGUGACAAGGCGAAUAUGAGUUGUUCUUCCACGAAAGAAUCCUCAUGUAAAGGGUACGACAGAAGCUUCUGCUUGAACCAACGCGUGAAACAUGAGUUGUGCUCUUUGAUUGUAUCUUCGUCCGUCCUCUGUUGGCCUUGGUCAUUGUACGUCUUCUCAAUAAAGGUUUUGUGUUCUACCACCCAAGGAUCGACCACGUCUAUGUGUUGUAGCGCGACUAGGUUUGCUCUUUCAAAGUCGGCGAGUCGACCCUCGAAGUCGACAUGCAUUUCGCGGCGACCCUCACGGUGACCCCAUCCAGCGAGCCUGCCAAGGUGCCUGUUGAUGGGCAGACCAACGGGGUCCUCGAUGCCUAGAUAAUUCGUGCAGUUGGAGAUGCACUCUUCGGUCAAAAAGCCCCUGGCUAUGCUUCCCUCUAGACGUGACAUGUUGCGAACGUAUCCUUUGAUGACACCAUUCAUCCUUUUGAAUGGCAUCAUGCGGUGCAGGAAGUCGACCCGAGUUGGAUGAUAUCCUCCAUGAUAUGGACCAGCAGAUGCACCAUAGCGUCGAAGAAUGCGGGCGAGAAGUACAUCUCAAGCUCGCAUAGUAUCACCACGAUCUCUUCCUGUAGCCUUCUGAGUUGCCUCACUCCAACCGACUUCCGAGAGAUGACGUCGAAAAAGUUGCAUAGGCCAAAUAGCAUUUCACGGACGUGCGCAUCCAUGAUCCCACGGAUUGCAACUAGAAGUAUUUGCGUCAUCAGCACGUGACAGUCGUGAGACUUCAUCCCGCUGAACUUCUGCUUCGCUGGGUCUAGGUAUCUACUUAUCUUCCCCGCGUAACCGAAAGGAAGUUUUACUCCUACGAGGCAGGUGAAAAACUGAUCGAUCUCCUCCUGACUUAGAGUGAAGCACGCGGGAGGGUAGUCAUUUCCGGUCUUCUUGGACUUUUUGCCUUUGCGACGACUUUUCGUGUCCUGCUUCGCCUUAUCAUCAUCAUCAUUAGCGUGAAGCUCCUCCCUGAUGCCCAUUGAUUUCAAGUCUGCCCUUGCUUUUGGCCCAUCUUUGGUCCUCUCUGGCAUGUUGAGCAGGGUACCAAGCAGACUCUCGCACACAUUCUUCGUGAUAUGCAUGACAUCAAGGUUGUGAGGCACAUGGUGGAUCUUCCAGUACGGCAAGUCCCAGAAAACAGACCUUGUUUUCUAUACCUUCAGCAGCGGCUCUGGCGCCUUUCGCUUCUUUCCCGGCUCUGGCGUCUUUUGCUUCUUUCCCGGCAGUGGGCAAUCUUUCCAAUUUUUCAACAGCUCGUCUAUUUCCUCGCGCGCCUCGUACACGGGCGUCUUCAGGGUUCGGUUUCACCAUCGAACAGAUCCUUGCGUUUCCUCCACGGGUCAUCAUCGCGAAGCCACCUUCGAUGUCCCAUGAACACGGUUUUCAAAGACCCAGGAUCUCUAUCUAGCAGGCGAUACAUUGUGUCAUCCAUGCACCUAACGCAUCCAGAAUAUCCGUGGACCACCUGCCCCGCGACAUAUCCGUAACCGAGAUAGUCAUGCACCGUCGUGAGCAGUGCAACUCUCAUAGGGAAAUAUUCUUUCUCUGCGGCGUCCCACGUAUUGGUUGGCAUUUUCCACAGCGUGUCUAGCUCCUCUUUCAGCAGCCCCAGAUACAGAUUGAUGUCGUUCCCUGGUUGUUUCGUCCCUUCAAUUAGCAUACUCAUGUGAAUGUACUUCCUCUUCAUGCACAACCAGGGGGAAGGUUGUACAUCCACACAAACACAGGCCAGGUGCUAUGUGUGCUUCUCUGGCAGCCAAACGGAUUGGCUCCAUCGGUGCUCGCGCCCAGCAUGAUGUUCCUUGGAUCCUUCCCAAAUUCUGGGUGUUCAAAGUUCAACGCUUGCCACUGGCUCCCAUCCCUAGGGUGACUCGGCAUCUUGUCUUUUUUAUUUAUCUCCGGAUCAUUUGCGUCAUCUUCUCGCUUCUUCUCCUCCCUAUCCGCGUGCCGAUGCAGGAGCUUUGCUACCUUAGGUUCCGCGAAAUACCGCCGCAGAUGCGGAGUGAUCGGAAAGUACCACACCACUUUUUGAGGAGCUUUCUUCCUCUUCUUGUAUCGAGUGACGCCGCACACCGGACAUAUGGUAGAGUCCGCGUGCUGGUCCCGAUAAAUGAUGCAAUUGUUCAUGCACACAUGGUAUUUCACGUGCGGUAAAUCCAGAGGACACACGAUUUUCUUCGCCUCCUCGAAACUGGUCGGGCACUUGUUCCCCUUGGGAAGAUGUUCGCGCCAGAAUGACAUGUUCUCGUCGAAGCAGGCGUCAGUCAUUUUGUGUUUUACCUUCAUCUCCAGAGCCAUGAGCAUUACUUUUAGGCGGGUAUCCUCAGGCUUGCAUCCUUCAUACAAUGGAGUAACCACGUCUAUCUCCAGUUGAUCCAGCUUGGCUUUCUCUCGGGCGGCAGCUCUUGCGUUAUCCGUCUGCUUGAGAAGCAGCUCUUGAACAUGAGGGUCCUGCACCCAGCCCAUCGAUGGUUCAUCGUCGUCUGCUCCGCCGGCAUCUUCAUCUUCAUGAUCAUGCCCUUCGUCUGCUCCGGCAUCUUGCUCAUCAUCAUGUCCUGCAUCUUCUACAUGAUGACUGUGUACAGCAUCACCGUCGUGAUCAUUGCCUGGAGAUUCUUCGUCUUCUCGCCCGCCCGAGCCGCGGUGGUUGUCUUGCUGCCCUUCCUCAUUUCUUGCCCGGACCCCAUGGGCGACUUCAUAGUCAUCUUCAUCACCUUGCCACCGAUAGCCAUCCAUGGAACCACGCAAGAGCAGGUGGUCCCGCACCUGCCCGGAAUCCGGGUCCGCAAUAAUGCUCUUCAGCUUGCAUCUUUGACACGGACAUCUUAUCUCCGUCUUGUUCUUUUCAAGCAUCUCGGCCUUCACGGAGCUCAAAAACCUAUUCACGAUGCCUUCGGUCAUUGUGCGGACCAUGGUCGCAUGCGGGGUAGAGCAAAACGAUAUUUUAGAACCAAGAAAAAAUUUGGCAUGACUUUCCCUAAAAAUAGGACCAAAAAGAAUGCAUAGUGCCAAAAUUCUCGCCUAAACAGAAAUGAAUCAACAUUCCGGCAAAAUAUUGGCAACUAUCGCAUUUCAAAUACCGGUACCUGCAAACACAAACAUAUAUGCAACACCACAAACAUAUGCAACACCACGAACAUACAUAGAUCUAGCUAGGCCACAAAAAGUGCAUGUGCACGUUGUUGGAGAGGGAGAACAACAUAAAGAUAGCUUCCCCCCUUACUUACCUAUCAAAAAAGGUAAUUUAACCACUUAAUUUGGAUGAAUCUAUUGUGCAAAUAAGGUGAGGAGGAGGAGGCAGCCGAGACAAGUUGGAGGAGGAGGUGGAGAGAAUGAAGUGGGGAAAGUGAGUGGGUAGGUGGGCUGUCCAAAAUAUCUUGUUGGUCCCAGGUUACUAAUGGCGCACCACCUACAAAUGCGCCAUUAGUAACCCUGGUUACUAAUGGCGCACCUGCUUGUGGUGCGCCAUUAGAAGUUUUGCAAAAAAAUAAAAAAGUAUAUAUUCUAAUGGCGCACCAUGGCACAGUGCCCCAUUACUAGUUUAAACUAGUAAUGGCGCACUAUGCUACGGUGCGCCAUUAUUAGUUUAAACUAGUAAUGGCGCACUACGCUACGGUGCGCCAUUAGUAAUUUUGCAAAAAAUAAAUAAAUAAAAACAACAGUAGUGGCGCACUAUGUGGCCGGUGCGCCAUUACUAGUUAGAACUAGUAAUGGCGCACCUUGCCAUGAUGCGCCAUUAGUAUGUUUGAAAAAAUAAGAAGAGAAAAUUUACUAGUGGCGCACCGUGUGCCUGGUGCGCCAUUAGUGUCUUCCACACUAAUGGCGCACCUCCACAUGGUGCGCCACUGCUAUAUAGUAGUGGCGCACCACAUGACAGGUGCGCCAUUAGUGGCCAUUCCAUCUAUAGCCCUUUUCCUAGUAGUGAAAGAGGCGAACACAAACACCAACUCAAACACACCAAGGAGAAGAGAAAGCCACACGACAACGAAGACCAACUACGAGACACAACUUCUCCAAGGAAGGGCGGUGGCCGGAGCCACCUAUGUUUGAGUCAAUUGGUAUGGCACCGCGAAGAAUUAUCCUUGGGUCCAUGACCAAAACUCGUCUUUGAAGCACAAGUACCAUAAAAAUGGCUAAUGUGAAAGAGUUGAUUAAUUUAUGCAUAAUGGGGGAGGAAAAGUUCAUUGAUAGAACAACACUCCCCCUAUGCCCAUGCCUACACCUAAACUAGACAACAAGUUGAGUGAGGUGGGGUGUGCACGGGCUCAAGUCACAUUGCUUGAAUCAAUGAUAUUUAGCUCAUGCCUUAACUCGCGAAAUCUUGCUUCAUCCAAGGGCUUCGUGAAAAUAUCUGCAAGGUUAUCAUGAGUGUUGACAUACUUGAGCUUGAUCUCCCCUUGCCUAAUAUGAUCCCGGAUGAAGUGAUACCGAAUCUCAAUGUGCUUUGUAUUGAAGUGUUGCACCGGGUUGAGAGAAAUCUUGAUGGCACCUUCAUUGUCACACCAAAGAGGGACUUUGUCAAAAUUGACACUGUAUUCCUUUAAAGUUUGCCUCAUCCAUAGGAGUUGUGCACAACAACUACCGGCCGCCACAUAUUUCGCUUCGGUGGACGAGAGGGACACACAACUUUGCUUCGUGGAAGACCAACUCACCAAAGAGCAACAAUUGGCACCCUCCGGAAGUGGACUUCCUAUCCACUUUGUCUCCCGCCCAAUCGGAAUCCGUAAAUCCUUCAAGCUUGAAGUUUUCUCCUCUUGGGUACCAUAGGCCAAAGUUUGGGGUAUGAGCCAAAUAUUGAAAGAUUCGCUUGACCGCCACAUAGUGGCUUUCCUUCGGUGCGGCUUGAAACCAUGCACACAUUCCCACACUCAACAUGAUAUCCAGUCCAGAUGCACAAAGGUAAAGCAAGGAUCCAAUCAUAGAGCGAUAUACCUUUUGAUCCACCACUUUACCAUUGGGAUCAAUGUCAAGUUGGCACUUGGUAGGCAUUGGAGUAGACGCCGGCUUGACAUCACUUAGCUUGAAUCUCUUUAGCAUGUCUUGAGUGUAGUUGGCUUGGUUGAUGAAAGUACCUUCUCUUCUUUGUUUGAUAUCAAAACAAAGGAAGAACUUCAACUCUCCCAUCAAAGACAUCUUGAACUUAGAGGUCAUGAGGACGGCAAAUUCCUCAUUGAAAGCUUUGUUAGGGGAACCAAAGAUAAUGUCAUCAACAUAUAGUUGGCACACAAACAACUCCCCUUUGACCUUCUUAGUAAAAAGAGUGGGAUCGAUUUGCCCAACUUCAAAUCCACAAUCUUGUAACAACUCGGUAAGGUGGUCAUACCACGCACAUGGGGCUUGUUUAAGGCCAUAGAGUGCCUUAUCGAGUUGAUACACAUGAUCUGGGAAGUAAGGAUCCUCGAACCCGGGGGGUUGCUUGACAUAAACCAACUCAUUAAUAGGACCAUUAAGAAAAGCACUUUUCACAUCCAUUUGUUGUAGAGAGAAUUCCUUAUUUGGCCCUUUCUUAAAAUAUGCUUCCCUUUUUGGCCCUGUAAAAUUAUUUUUGCCCUUUUUGACACCUAAACUUCAUUUUGUUCCCUUAAUGACAUUUUCAUCACUUUUGGCCACUAACACAAUCAGGUGCAAUAAAAAAAGUCGGAUUUACCCCUGCUUUAGUUCACAGGUAGAAUGAAGAAGAAACCCCAUGACUGAACUUCUCUCACUAUUUCCCACCCCGGGUCGAUGUUGGUGCUGCUCAUGGCGAGGCAGAGGGUGACGGAUCGUCGACCUCAGCAUCCAUGGAACGGCGUGUGCCCAUGCGCGUGUUCCAGCACUGCUGGCCGGUCGUGGUCUUCUUUGUUGGUGUUAAAUACGAGUAUACGACAGUAGCAACCCAUACAUGUAUGCUUGAUUACUUGUGCGUGAACGUGUCCGUGUUGGACUGGUGUCACUACACCACGGUAGCUAAAAGAAGGCAUAUGAGUUGUGUACGUGUGCAACGCCGGGCUAUGCUAGCUUUGAUUGAUCAAGACACGGAUCGAGCCAGCCGGGCUAGGUAGCUAGCUGUUCGAGCUGGCAAAGGCGUUGGUGCAUCUCGGCCACCAACAAGUCUGACUGCUGCGACGCAGGUGGUUGGCGGCCGUGGCGUUGGCAUCUCCGGCCGUGACUCUCGGGCUGAAUGCGAGCGCCGCGAUCCGGCAACCUGCACGAGGCAUGCAACUGGUACUUGGCGGAGGGCAGUGCAUGUGGCCGGGAGUUGAUACCGGAACUGCACGCGGCAGCAGCUGUGCGCCAUGCGAAAGAGGAGGCAGAGGUAGUUGCCAGGACCAGACGACCAACAACAGCGACUGCCUCAUUCCGGGCGAGUGGUGUCCGGCUGCUUGUGGCCAGCAGCGCACGCUCUCGUCGUCCUCGUUUGCGAGCCGUCCGCGCGGUGUGUAGCUGCCGAUGUGCGCGGUCUACUACUUGUUCGGAGGAUUUAUUAUGUGUACUGCAGUUUUAAACGUGUGUUAGUUAGAAGAUUUAGGAGUAUGUGUCGGAGUACUUUGAACGUGAUAAAUUGUACUUAUCAUAGAUAUGAUUAUGCUAGUUGAGCAGGUGUUUUCCUCUUUUGUAUGCACGGAUCAGUUUAGCUAAGGAAUAAAUUUAUUGAAGUGCAUAUAUAUGCAAAACAUCAAUGAACAUAUUUCAUAAAAGCAGUGGUUAGUUUUUUACUUAAAUAUAUCCUGGAUAGUGCACUAGGGGCAAAAUGGUCUUUUCAUCUCACACUUAACAUUAUUAGUGACUAAAGGUGACGGAAAUGUAAUUGAGGGAACAAAAUAAACUUUGAGUGUCAAAAAGGGAAAAAUAUUUUAUUUUGGGCCAAAAAGGGAAACAGAUUUUAAGAAAGGGCCAAAUAAGGAAUUCUCUCUUUGUUGUAACUUAAAGUUGUGAUGGGAAGCAUAAGCAAUCAACAAACGAAUGGAUUCAAGUCGAGCAACGGGAGCAAAGGUUUCACCGUAGUCGAUACCCUGGACUUGGGAGUAGCCUUGUGCUACCAAUCUUGCCUUGUUCUGAAUGAUGUUCCCAUGAGCGUCUUGCUUGUUCUUGAAAAUCCACUUGGUUUCAAUGACGUUAUGGUUCCCCGACGGCCGUGGCAUGAUACGUCUCCAACGUAUCUAUAAUUUUUGAUUACUCCAUGCUACUUUGUCUACUGUUUUGGACUAUAUUGGGCUUUAUUUUCCACUUUUAUAUUAUUUUUGGGACUAACCUAUUAACCUGAGGCCCAUCCCAGAAUUGAUGUUUUUUGCCUAUUUCAGUGUUUCGAAGAAACAGAAUAUCAAACGGAGUCCAAACGGAAUAAAACCUUCGGGAACGUGAUUUUCCAACCGAACGUGAUCCAGGAGACUUGGACCCUACUCUAAGAAGUUUCCGAGGAGGCCACGAGGGUGGAGGGCGCGCCCCCUACCUCGUGGGCCCCUCGGAGCUCCACCGACGUACUCCUUCCUCCUAUAUAUACCUACGUACCCCCGUCAGAUCAGAUACGGAGCCAAAAACCUAAUUCCACCGCCGCAACCUUCUGUAUCUGCGAGAUCCCAUCUUAGGGCCUGUUCCGGAGCUCCGUCGGGGAGGGCAUCUACCAUCGAGGGCUUCUACGUCAACACCAUAGCCUCUCCGAUGAAGUGUGAGUAGUUUACUUCAGACCUUCGGGUCCAUAGUUAUUAGCCAGAUGGCUUCUUCUCUCUUUUUGGAUCUCAAUACAAAGUUCUCCCCCUCUCUUGUGGAGAUCUAUUCGAUGUAAUCUUGUUUUUGCGGUGUGUUUGUUGAGACCGAUGAAUUGUGGGUUUAUGAUCCAGCUUAUUUAUGAACAAUAUUUGAU
rnacentral:lncRNA from 1 species